rnacentral:rRNA from 1 species
CAAUAGCGUAUAUUAAAGUUGUUGCAGUUAAAAAGCUCGUAGUUGGAUUUCUGGAUGGAGCGACCGGUCGGGCAUUAAUUUGUCUGCACUGGGGUCGGUUCCGUCCAUCCUCUUGGAAAGUGCGUGGGGCAUUAAGUUGUCUGGCGUAUGAUCCAAGUCGUUUACUGUGAAAAAAUUAGAGUGUUUAAAGCAGGCCUUCGCCUUGAAUACAUUAGCAUGGAAUAAUAAGAUAGGACUUUGGUCUAUUUUGUUGGUUUGCAGACCGAAGUAAUGAUUAAUAGGGAUAGUUGGGGGUAUUUAUAUUCCGAUGUCAGAGGUGAAAUUCUUAGAUUUUCGGAAGAUAAACUUAUGCGAAAGCAUUUACCAAGGAUGUUUUCAUUAA